rnacentral:rRNA from 1 species
GAUGAACGCUGGCGGCGUGCUUAACACAUGCAAGUCGAACGGAAAGGCUCCUGCUUGCAGGGGUACUCGAGUGGCGAACGGGUGAGUAACACGUGGGUGAUCUGCCCUGCACUUCGGGAUAAGCCUGGGAAACUGGGUCUAAUACCGGAUAGGACGAUGGUUUGGAUGCCAUUGUGGAAAGUUUUUUCGGUGUGGGAUGAGCUCGCGGCCUAUCAGCUUGUUGGUGGGGUAAUGGCCUACCAAGGCGUCGACGGGUAGCCGGCCUGAGAGGGUGUACGGCCACAUUGGGACUGAGAUACGGCCCAGACUCCUACGGGAGGCAGCAGUGGGGAAUAUUGCACAAUGGGCGCAAGCCUGAUGCAGCGACGCCGCGUGGGGGAUGACGGCUUUCGGGUUGUAAACUCCUUUCGCUAGGGACGAAGCGCAAGUGACGGUACCUGGAGAAGAAGCACCGGCUAACUACGUG